UACGGAGGGUGCAAGCGUUAUCCGGAUUCACUGGGUUUAAAGGGUGCGUAGGUGGGCUGGUAAGUCAGUGGUGAAAUCUCCAGGCUUAACUUGGAAACUGCCAUUGAUACUAUCAGUCUUGAAUACCGUGGAGGUCAGCGGAGUAUGUCAUGUAGCGGUGAAAUGCUUAGAUAUGACAUAGAACACCAAUUGCGAAGGCAGCUGGCUACACGAAUAUUGACACUGAUGCACGAAAGCGUGGGGAUCAAACAGG
rnacentral:rRNA from 1 species